rnacentral:rRNA from 1 species
UACGUAGGGGUCGAGCGUUGUCCGGAGUUACUGGGCGUAAAGCGCGUGCAGGUGGCUCAUUACGCCCGGCGUGAAAGCCCCCGGCUCAACCGGGGAGGGUCGUCGGGGACGGGUGAGCUUGAGGGUAGCAGGGGCUGGUAGAAUUCCCGGUGUAGUGGUGAAAUGCGUAGAGAUGUGGAGGAACACCAGUGGCGAAGGCGACUCUCUGGUCUGUAACUGACGCUGAGGUGCGAAAGCGUGGGUAGCAAACAGG